AGAAGGCCUUCGGGUUGUAAAGUACUUUCAGCGGGGAGGAAGGUGUUGUGGUUAAUAACCGCAGCAAUUGACGUUACCCGCAGAAGAAGCACCGGCUAACUCCGUGCCAGCAGCCGCGGUAAUACGGAGGGUGCAAGCGUUAAUCGGAAUUACUGGGCGUAAAGCGCACGCAGGCGGUCUGUCAAGUCGGAUGUGAAAUCCCCGGGCUCAACCUGGGAACUGCAUUCGAAACUGGCAGGCUUGAGUCUUGUAGAGGGGGGUAGAAUUCCAGGUGUAGCGGUGAAAUGCGUAGAGAUCUGGAGGAAUACCGGUGGCGAAGGCGGCCCCCUGGACAAAGACUGACGCUCAGGUGCGAAAGCGUGGGGAGCAAACA
rnacentral:rRNA from 1 species